AGCAGCCGCGGUAAUUCCAGCUCCAAUAGCGUAUAUUAAAGUUGCUGCAGUUAAAAAGCUCGUAGUUGAAUUUCGGGACUAAUAUGUCGGUCGUGCCUCGGUACGUACUGGUUUAUUGGUUUCUCCUUUCUGAAGAACCAUGAUGUCAUUUAUUUGGUGUCGUGGGGAAUCAGGACUGUUACUUUGGAAAAAUUAGAGUGUUUAAAGCAGGCUCACGCUUGAAUACAUUAGCAUGGAAUAAUGAAAUAGGACGUUUGAUUCUAUUUUGUUGGUUUCUAGGAUCGACGUAAUGAUUAAUAGGGAUAGUUGGGGGCAUUAGUAUUCAAUUGUCAGAGGUGAAAUUCUUGGAUUUAUUGAAGACUAACUACUGCGAAAGCAUUUGCCAAGGAUGUUUUCAUUAAUCAAGAACGAAAGUUAGGGGAUCGAAGACGAUCAGAUACCGUCGUAGUCUUAACCAUAAACUAUGCCGACUAGGGAUCGGAUGAUGUUAAUUUUUUAAUGACUCAUUCGGCGCCUUACG
rnacentral:rRNA from 2 species